CAUCAGGUUUCUCUAGAAGGAAGAAAACAUCCAGGUAUUUCAUAAGUCUGUGGAAAAACUCUUCUGUAAAACAGACAACGUCUGUGUUAGGGCCAGAGCAAAGGAAUUAGGUUUGUGGCUCAGGAAAAGAAAUGGGUGAGGUUGAAAGCAGUCAAAACCAUAAGUGAACAUUCCAAAGCUUACACCAACCGGCAACGCAGCCACGCAGUGGUGACCCUGGAGGCCUCCUUCCAGGAGGGGAACGGGACAGGCACCCGCACCAUCCCCGUGGAAAGCCUGAGCUGCCGGGCAGCCCGGGUGACAAACGCAGGAGCGAGACCUGGGAAAGGCAGGGUCUGCCCCAGAGGUGAAGGUUCAGACACACCGCGUGGAAAGGAUUCUAAGCCUGGUGGAAGCCCUCUGCGCAGAGCUUCAGCAGGCAGGGCGCUCUAGAAACGGACGCCACAGCGUUUUCUCAGACUUGUUAGGAUUACCAGGAACGCACGGGACGUGUGAAACGUUACAAAGUACAGAAGCAGAAGCCCCUUCGCUGCCUCCACCGCCUCACUUCCUGGCCUGCUCCGUCCGUUCAGGCCUGUGUGUCCCCGUGUGCACGCACGUGUACUGCACAGAAUUAGAACACUGAAUACCCCAGGAACUCAGCUAUACGGGGGAUGAACAGGUGCCCGUCCUGUGCUAGACGUUGCUCUGAGCCCUAGAAUAACAACCGCACGUUUCUGAGGUUACAGAGACAGUGGAAGUGCUGACUCCACCCCCGCUGGUCACCGGUCACCGCCAGCUUCCCUGAGCUUUGGGCACCCCCGCCAUGGGGAGGCUGGGCAUCUCAUCUCGUUGUCACUCGUUCAUGGGCCCGUGGCAUGUAUCCUCCUGUGAAUGCGUGUCAUCCUGCAUUUUCUACAUUGACUUUUUUUUUUCCUUUGGUGAGCUUUUUUAUAUUUGGGAAAUUCACCCUUAGUGAUUUAUACUACAAGUAGCUCCUGGCUUUUAGCUUCCCUUGUUGCUUUCUGCAACAGAUUCAUCCAUCUAUUCCUUAAUGGCUUUUAGAGUUUGUCAGACUGGAAAAGGCAUCCCCUGCUCCAAACUUAUAAAAACAUUUACUCACCUCCACUUCAUACUUUCAUAGUUUUAUCUUGCAUGUUUACCUGUUUGCUUUCUCAGUUGUCAACUGAGUUUCCCCGGCACUCGGGGAACAUCCGUCCUUCCCCCGUGUCUGCGGCAUGGCACUUCUCGGGGCCCACGCGAGCAUGCUGUGCUAUGUGCUCACCACUGUGCGACACGCUUCCAUGUCAGAGGACUCAAUCCCUCUGCUUUUCCAGAUGUUUCCUGCCAUUCUUACAUUUUUAUCCUCUUAGGUGACCUUUGGGAUAAUUUGGUCUGGCUCCCAAAACCACCUGUGCUCUUUUGUUUGGGGUCAUACUGAUUUGCUAGAAUAAGGGAGAAUUAACAACUUUAUGUUACUGAGACUUUCUAAUCCAAAACAAGACUCCUUUUAUCUUCCUCAGAGGUUUAAAGCUUCUUCAUUUAGAAACAUGAAUCUUUUGGGACUUCCCUGGUGGUCCAGUGGUAAAGAAUCCGCCUUCUGGGCUUCCCUGGUGGCCCAGUGGUUGGGGGUCUGCCUGCCAGUGCAGGGGACACGGGUUCGAGCCCUGGUCCGGGAAGAUCCCACAUGCUGCAGAGCAGCUGAGCCCGUGCGCCACAACUACUGAGCCCGCGAGCCACAACUACUGAAGCCAGCGCCACUAGAGCCUGCGCUCCACAACAUGAGAAGCCACCACAGUGAGAGGCCUGCGCACCUCAGCGAAGAGUAGCCCCCGCUCGCCGCAACUGGAGACGGCCCAUGCACAGCAACGAAGACCCAACACAGCCAAAAUUAAAUAAAUAAAAUAAAUAAAUUUAAAAAAAA